UGGGCUAGGGUGCAAAAAGGGCAAGCCUGA
rnacentral:piRNA from 1 species